rnacentral:rRNA from 1 species
UAAUUUAAUGGCCGCGGUAUUUUGACCGUGCAAAGGUAGCAUAAUCAUUAGUUUAUUAAUUGUGAACUUGUAUGAAUGGUUUUACGAAAUAUUUACUGUCUCUUAUUUAAUUUUAAAAUUUAAAUUUUAAGUUAAAAUGCUUAAAUAUAUUUAUAGGACGAGAAGACCCUAUAGAUCUUUAUUAUUUAUUUAAUUUUUUUAUUUUGAUUAUAUUUUAUUUAUUUUUUAUAUUUUUUUAUUGGGGUGAUAUAGGGAAAAAUAUAACUCUUUAUUUUACUUUACAUUUUUAAUGUAUUUUUGACCUUUUUUUAUUGUUAUAAGAUUAAGAUACCUUAGGGAUAACAGCGUAAUUUUAAUUGAGAGUUCAUAUCGACAUUAUAGAUUGCGACCUCGAUGUUGGAUUAAGAUUAUAAUUAGGUGUAGAUGCUUAAAUAUUAAGUCUGUUCGACUUUUAAAUUCUUACAUGAUCUGAGU